CAACUGUAACUUAACUAAAAUAUCGUCACAGGUCAAUAACAGGAAGGAGGCAAUUUCCGUCUUAGUGUUUGAGUUUUAGACAAUUUAGUUUCUGUGUGUGUUUCUGCUUAACAGUAUGGUCUGUUUCAAGGAUGAAGAUGUUGGGAGAGGUGUUUGAGUCUCUUUCUGAGGAGCAACGUGUUCAGAUCAGAGACUGGGUCAAGGAGCAAGUGACCCAGAACAAUUACAACUGCAGUCAUAGUGCUGCAGCCUGGCAACCCACACCCAAACCUACACAACCGAAACCAGAACUAAACCAGACCAAGCCAAACCUGGCCAAACCCACACCUCAACAGAAACCAAUACAGACACCUCAACUAGAAGGACUGAUCUCACUUUCUUCAGUACUACAGUCUAACAUGACAGUGAUGACCUGCCCUCCCAGUCUGCUGUGGCUGAAUUUGGAUGUGAUGAAGAUGAUGGGGCCCUUCUUCGCCGGGCUGCCCGUAGAUUACAUUAACACAAUCCCCAAAGACCAGCUGUGUCAAUUCUUCCAUUCGAACCAGUUCCCUUCCUCAUUCAGAGGGGUGCUCCCUCCACUACAGGCCAAUAAGAUACUCCAGAAGAUCAUAGAGUGUUCUCAGAAGAAAGAAGACUUUGUCCAGAACCUGGACAGCUUAAGAAGGAGCUUGCCAAAACUGUGAUGUCAUCAUCAGAAGAGAAUUCCAGUCCUGAGCUGUUGCGCCUUCUGGGUUCUGGUGUCACGGUGCUGUCGCCCUUCCACCUCUCCCAGUUCUCCCCUAAUGCCCUCAAGGACAUCCUGAUUUCACUGGGGUCAGAGGUGAAGUGGAGUCUGACCCAAGCCAAAACACUGGUUGUGAAAGUACUGCAGGGGAAGCAGGUGAGAGCGCUGUAUGUGCUCUACAUAUUGAUCAAUAUCUUUCUCUCAGUGUUAUUAAACAGGUUUCUCAACUGGUACGUCUACAAGAAACAUUCCAUUGCAUUUGGUGGCGAUGCCGCUGAACAAAUCCCUCAACUCACCUCACACUUUCCUCCUCCUCUCCCUCCCUCCUAAGGAGCUCUCUGGUGAUGAAUUAAUGUCUCUGGGUUCUGCUGUGAGGGGCGUGGCCUCCUCUCUUCUGAAGAAUGUAAAACCCAAAGGGCUUCUGGAUGAUGAGCGACUGAACUGGAUGAGUCAACGGAUGUCUAUCAUGCAGCGGAAAGCACUGCUAGAUGGGGUGAGAGUAGGGUGGGAGGCAAGCACGGCUAGAUGGGGUGAGAGUAGGGUGGGAGGCAGGCACGGCUAGAUGGGGUGAGAGUAGGGUGGGAGGCAAGCACGGCUAGAUGGGGUGAGAGUAGGGUGGGAGGCAAGCACUGCUAGAUGGGGUGAGAGUAGGGUGGGAGGCAAGCACUGCUAGAUGGGGUGAGAGUAGGGUGGGAGGCAAGCACUGCUAGAUGGGGUGAGAGUAGGGUGGGAGGCAAGCACGGCUAGAUGGGGUGAGAGUAGGGUGGGAGGCAAGCACGGCUAGAUGGGGUGAGAGUAGGGUGGGAGGCAAGCACGGCUAGAUGGGGUGAGAGUAGGGUGGGAGGCAAGCGCGGCUAGAUGGGUUGAGA
ensembl:lncRNA